UACGAAGGGGGCUAGCGUUGUUCGGAAUUACUGGGCGUAAAGCGCGCGCAGGCGGCUAUCCAAGUCAGUGGUGAAAGCCCGGAGCUUAACUCCGGAACUGCCAUUGAAACUGUUUAGCUUGAGUAUGAGAGAGGUGAGUGGAAUUCCCAGUGUAGAGGUGAAAUUCGUAGAUAUCAGGAGGAACACCGGUGGCGAAGGCGGCGAUCUGGACGACAACUGACGCUGAGGCGCGAAAGCGUGGGGAGCAAACGGG
rnacentral:rRNA from 1 species